rnacentral:tRNA from 2 species
UUCGGCAACGGCGACGAGGUGGACAUCAUCUCUCUCGACUACCCCGCCUCGUGGAACGAUUCUACUCUACU